rnacentral:lncRNA from 10 species
CCGAAUAGGAACAGCUCCGGUCUACAGCUCCCAGCGUGAGCGACGCAGAAGACGGGUGAUUUCUGCAUUUCCAUCUGAGAAGCACUGAGUGGUUCCCUGAUUCAGUGGAAGCCAGACAUCCUAUCUAAACCUCUAGAACACCAGGGUCCCGGCUGCUGAGAACUCCAGGCACACGAGGCUGCUUGGGAAAGACUGGAGAAGUGCCAGGAGGAUUAAUUACAGCAGUUAAUGUUUCCAUUUGAAAGGAGAUGAUACUCUGAUCGAAUUAUACUCUGCUCCUUGCCCCAUCUAAUAUUUAUUUGCACAUUAAAGAUAACACGACUGGCUAGAAUUGGCUUCUGAAUAUGUGUGCUCCUUAUCAAGGCCACAGUUUACAGCUUUGCUAGGGAGAGCUAUGGUAAUGAACUACUUGAUCUUUUUUUUUUUUUUUUUUUGAGACGGAGCCUCGCUCUGUCGUCCAGGCUGGAGUGCAGUGGCGCGAUCUCGGCUCACUGCAACCUCCACCUCCCAGGUUCAAGCAGUUCUCCUACCUCAGCCUCCUGCGUAGCUGGGACUACUACAGGCGUGCGCCACCAUGCCCAGCUAAUUUUUGUAUUUUUAGUACAGACAGGAUUUCACCAUGUUGGCCAGGACGGUCCCAAUCUCUUGACCUCGUGAUCGGCCCUCCUCGGCCUCCCAAAGUUCUGGGAUUACAGGCGUGAGCCACUGCGCCCAGCCGGACUAUUUUAUCUUAAAGAGAGACUUGGAAGAGAGGCUGCUGGAAUCCCUAAAGUCUACCUGGAUCUGAUGUAAUCAUGUCUGGCUGACUCAACAGCAGCGGCUUGGAAAUAAAAUGCAAUACGGAACACCUGGAGAGAUGCCUCCUUCUCUUUGUCUAUCUUUCAAGCAUCCCAGACUCAACUUUUAAGAUGUCUCAGAUCUCAGGACAAGAGAAACACUUGCGUAAUGAUAAUCAUAAAAACAGUAAUAGCAGCAAUGCUAAUAAUAAGAAAAUGUAGGAAGAUGUGGGAAUUAGAAAUGAGCAUAUUAAUCUUGUAGCAUUUUGAAUGCACAUAGAACUCAAUCAAGUUGAACUUGACACAGAAAAAUAUACAGUAAUUUCGUGAGAAUGCAAGAUUGCUUUCCAACAAUUGUCACAAUCCACAAGAAAAAUAAACAGGGAUAUGUUUACUCUUAGAUGGCUCAAAAGAAAGACGAUCCUUCCGACUUGUGUCCUUCCAAGGGUGGUCCGCAGCAUUACAGAAGUCAACCUACUGUGUCUCACGUCACUGUUGAAUUAGAUGGGUUACUGAGGGUGGAGGUUCAAAGUUGGAGUUAUCCUCAAUAUCCCUCUCACCUUGAUCUUCAAAAUAAUUAUGGUAUUUGCAUGCGACAUUUUGAAAUAUUAGACAUGUCCAUCUGUCAAUAUGGAAUGUGGUUAUCCAUCAUUUUAUUCUACUUUUUCUUCUUCUCCUUAAAUAUUGAAAAGUAAGUACCAAUUAAAGAUAUACUUUCCUCUAUGCCUUCAGAAGGCAAAGCAUUUCUCCUUCCAC